CAGCCCUUUAAUCGCGGAUCGCUGGUCCAGGGCUGCGCUAUAGUCUCAGCUGCUGCUGCUGCAUCCUAGUCUCACUCUCUCUCUCUCUGUUUGUGUGGGGAGUGGGGGCAAGUGCAAUCCUGGUGAAUGCACCAACCUUCCUAUCUUCCCCCCCCACCCCCAUACCCUCCUUUAUUCCCCUUCCCUCUCACCCCCUCCUAAAAAUUGAUGCCUCAGUUCUGUCUGAGAACUGAUUCCUUCCCCCCCUCUCUCUCUCUCUCACACACACAGCUUCACUCAGUGCACUCGUCCAGCCGCCUCUCACCAGCACAGCCAUGCAAAGAUGAGCAGUAGGCCGAGCAACAUCUCCGGGAGCGUCAGCAUGGUUUCCGCGGCGAUGUCGGCCCCAGAGCCGGCCCCCAGCAGCACGGCGGCGGAUCCCAGCGUCUCGUGGUUGCCCGACACUCCAACGGCGCUGGAGCAGCCGAUAUUCCUGAUGACCACGGCGGCACAGGGCAUCUCGGGGUUCUUUGUGUGGACGGCUCUCCUAAUCACGUGCCACCAGAUAAACACAAACACUGAAAAACAACAUGGCUAUUGUGGGUGGAAGGAUGAAUGGGAAAGCAGUGGUCCCUAAUCACAGGAUCUGCUGGAAUGUUCCUUCUGCUGCUCUGAAUGCUGCUUCUCGGGUGUACCUACCUUCUCCAGCUGCUUUCAUUGGUUUGACAUGUUCAAACAUCAGCAAGGUCCCUGACUCGUUUGUUUAAAAAUCGAAGCUUACAGCAACUGCUGGAGAAAAGAUCAACUGGUUUUCUUGUGUUUUACUGCAGAGAACAGAGAGACCUCCUGAGCCUGUGGAGAUCCAAGGGCUUCUCCCUUUGUCUUUCACAGUCCCACGCUGCUCAGCUACCUAAGAGCCAAUUGUGCUGUUGUCAGGCAGAAAGCAUUUGUUUUCGAUUGGUCUGUGGACUAAAGACCAAUUCAUCAGAUACUUGGUGCUGGUUUGAACUCCAUUUGUAAAAAAAAAAAUCCAGUUCAUUGACACCUUCUGCUUGAACCAGUAACUAUAUAAGCACUGUUUACAAUAAGUGUAAACUUCUUACUUUCAAAAGGCAUGCAGCAACCCUUCAGUAAUCCUUGAGUUUUAAAACAAUCUUUUCUCAUUCCAAACUACCAUUAAAAAGAAUAA